UACGAAGGGGGCUAGCGUUGCUCGGAAUCACUGGGCGUAAAGCGCACGUAGGCGGCUUGUUAAGUCAGGGGUGAAAUCCUGGAGCUCAACUCCAGAACUGCCUUUGAUACUGGCGAGCUUGAGUUCGGGAGAGGUGAGUGGAACUGCGAGUGUAGAGGUGAAAUUCGUAGAUAUUCGCAAGAACACCAGUGGCGAAGGCGGCUCACUGGCCCGAUACUGACGCUGAGGCACGAAAGCGUGGGGAGCAAACAGG
rnacentral:rRNA from 1 species